UACGAAGGGGGCUAGCGUUGUUCGGAUUUACUGGGCGUAAAGCGCACGUAGGCGGAUUGUUAAGUCAGGGGUGAAAUCCUGGAGCUCAACUCCAGAACUGCCUUUGAUACUGAGGAUCUUGAGUUCGGGAGAGGUGAGUGGAACUGCGAGUGUAGAGGUGAAAUUCGUAGAUAUUCGCAAGAACACCAGUGGCGAAGGCGGCUCACUGGCCCGGUACUGACGCUGAGGUGCGAAAGCGUGGGGAGCAAACAGG
rnacentral:rRNA from 1 species